GGAAGUGUAUUGUCACCGGUGUGGCACGCAGUCUUCAAAACUGUUGUUAGGCGGAAACGUCUAAGGUAGGUUCGACUCCUAUACGCUUCCGCCA
rnacentral:tRNA from 2 species